UUUUCUCUUUAAGUCUGAAGAACGGGCCUUUUCUCUCCAAGUCUCAAGAAAAUGCCUCAUCCCUAACAUUUUACCUAAAUCAAUUUUGGCAAUAGGUUGGAAAAACAAGAUUGUACAUUUUUCUCCAGUACUUCAGCGAGGAAAAAUUUGACAUUUUCUAUGUCAACACUACGAGGAGGUUGAGUUUUGAAGCUGUUACGUUUCUGCUUCAAUUUAAUUCAACCAAAAUCUUUUCCGUCACCAACAACUUUUCAGGUUUCUAUUUAUCAUCGAAUAAGAAAGAUUGAAGAUAUCACACCCUCCACUUGAUUAUGGUAGCUCAGAAGUUCAUCGUACUAUUGUUGGGAGCAAAAGUACCUCUGGAGUGACGAAUUCUUAAAAGAAAUAGAUUGGAGUUAAUCUUUUAUGUGCAAAGAGCUAUUGUGUAUAUAUUAUUUAGAUUUCAUGGUAAGGUUUGCAUAAAUUCUACCCUACUUGGACUUUACUUGUGGGAUUUCACUAAGUAUGUCGUAGGUUUAUUUAGAUCUCGUGAAACAAUUGAAUUUAUAACAGUUUCCGUAUUGAAGGUACUA